rnacentral:rRNA from 1 species
GCCAGACUCCUACGGGAGGCAGCAGUGGGGAAUAUUGCACAAUGGGGGGAACCUUGAUGCAGCAACGCCGCGUGGGUGAAGAAGUACUCCGGUAUGUAAAGCCCUGUCAGCAGGGAAGAAAAUGACGGUACCUGACCAAGAAGCCCCGGCUAACUACGUGCCAGCAGCCGCGGUAAUACGUAGGGGGCAAGCGUUAUCCGGAUUCACUGGGUGUAAAGGGAGCGUAGACGGCGACGCAAGUCUGGAGUGAAAGCCCGGGGCCCAACCCCGGGACUGCUCUGGAAACUGCGUCGCUGGAGUACGGGAGGGGCAGGCGGAAUUCCUGGCGUAGCGGUGAAAUGCGUAGAUAUCAGGAGGAACACCGGCGGCGAAGGCGGCCUGCUGGACCGUGACCGACGUUGAGGCUCGAGAGCGUGGGGAGCAAACAGGAUUAGAUACCCCUGUA